AACGAACGCUGGCGGCAUGCCUAACACAUGCAAGUCGAACGAGAUCUUCGGGUCUAGUGGCGCACGGGUGCGUAACGCGUGGGAAUCUGUCCUUUGGUUCGGAAUAACAGUUGGAAACGACUGCUAAUACCGGAUGAUGACGAAAGUCCAAAGAUUUAUCGCCAGAGGAUGAGCCCGCGUAGGAUUAGCUAGUUGGUGUGGUAAAGGCGCACCAAGGCGACGAUCCUUAGCUGGUCUGAGAGGAUGAUCAGCCACACUGGGACUGAGACACGGCCCUGACUCCUACGGGAGGCAGCAGUGGGGAAUAUUGGACAAUGGGCGAAAGCCUGAUCCAGCAAUGCCGCGUGAGUGAUAAAGGCCUUAGGGUUGUAAAGCUCUUUUACCCGGGAUGAUAAUGACAGUACCGGGAGAAUAAGCUCCGGCUAACUCCGUGCCAGCAGCCGCGGUAA
rnacentral:rRNA from 1 species